rnacentral:rRNA from 1 species
GACGAACGCUGGCGGCGUGCUUAACACAUGCAAGUCGAACGGAAAGGCCUGCUUUCCCUUGUGGAUUGCGGGUACUCGGGUGGCGAACGGGUGAGUAACACGUGAGUGAUCUGCCCCUAACUUGGGUAUAAGCCUGGGAAACUGGGUCUAAUUCCCGAUAGGACUGCAGGGUGGUGCCUGUGGUGGAAAACGAUUUUCUAGUGGUUGGGGAUGAGCUCGCGGCCUAUCAGCUUGUCGGUGGGGUAAUGGCCUACCAAGGCGGCGACGGGUAGCCGGCCUGGGAGGGUGGACGGGCACAUUGGGACUGAGAUACGGCCCAGGCUCCUACGGGAGGCAGCAGUGGGGAAUAUUGCGCGAUGGACGGAAGCCUGAUGCAGCGACGCCGCGUGGGGGAUGACGGCCUUCGGGUUGUAAACUCCUUUCGACCGCGAGGAAGCCACCUGGUUGGAAGGGUGGUGACGGUAGUGGUAGAAGAAGCACCGGCUAACUACGUG